UACGGAAGGCAGCAGUGGGGAAUAUUGCACAAUGGGCGCAAGCCUGAUGCAGCCAUGCCGCGUGUAUGAAGAAGGCCUUCGGGUUGUAAAGUACUUUCAGUCGUGAGGAAGGUGUUAAGGUUAAUAACCUUAGCAAUUGACGUUAGCGACAGAAGAAGCACCGGCUAACUCCGUGCCAGCAGCCGCGGUAAUACGGAGGGUGCGAGCGUUAAUCGGAAUUACUGGGCGUAAAGGGCACGCAGGCGGUUAAUUAAGUUGGAUGUGAAUCCCCGGGCUUAACCUGGGAAUGGCAUUCAAGACUGGUUAGCUAGAGUCUUGUAGAGGGGGUAGAAUUCCAUGUGUAGCGGUGAAAUGCGUAGAGAUGUGGAGGAAUACCGGUGGCGAAGGCGGCCCCUGGACAAAGACUGACGCUCAUGUGCGAAAGCGUGGGGAGCGAAACGAGGGAUUAGAUACC
rnacentral:rRNA from 1 species